rnacentral:misc_RNA from 1 species
ACACCUCAACUCCCAUGGUUUGCCAUGGUGAGCUUGGACUUUGGGGGUUUUGCUGGCCUGCGGUCAGCUCCUCUCAAAUGAAUUAGCCUGCCAGUGUUUGGUGGCAUCACAGGUGUGAUAAAUAUCUACCCUUGAGACUGCCUGCCAGGUAACCUUCAGUGAUGGAGGUUCGCUGGGGCUCAUAGACGUCUCUCCUCAGCGAGGACAGCUUUUUUAAC